GACGAACGCUGGCGGCGUGCUUAACACAUGCAAGUCGAACGGAAAGGCCCUGCUUGCAGGGUACUCGAGUGGCGAACGGGUGAGUAACACGUGGGUGAUCUGCCCUGCACUUCGGGAUAAGCCUGGGAAACUGGGUCUAAUACCGGAUAGGAGCCAUUUUUAGUGUGAUGGUUGGAAAGUUUUUUCGGUGUAGGAUGAGCUCGCGGCCUAUCGGCUUGUUGGUGGGGUAAUGGCCUACCAAGGCGGCGACGGGUAGCCGGCCUGAGAGGGUGGACGGCCACAUUGGGACUGAGAUACGGCCCAGACUCCGACGGGAGGCAGCAGUGGGGAAGAUUGCACAAUGGGCGCAAGCCUGAUGCAGCGACGCCGCGUGGGGGAUGACGGCCUUCGGGUUGUAAACUCCUUUCGCUAGGGACGAAGCUUUUUGUGACGGUACCUAGAUAAGAAGCACCGGCUAACUACGUG
rnacentral:rRNA from 1 species